rnacentral:tRNA from 1 species
GGCUCUGUGGUGUUUUCACGUCAAAAUGCAAGUUUGAAGAAGGACCCUAUUGUGUCCCGGGGCUU